rnacentral:rRNA from 1 species
AGUGAACGCUGGCGGUAGGCCUAACGCAUGCAAGUCGAACGGCAGCACAGUAAGAGCUUGCUCUUACGGGUGGCGAGUGGCGGACGGGUGAGGAAUACAUCGGAAUCUACUUUUUCGUGGGGGAUAACGUAGGGAAACUUACGCUAAUACCGCAUACGACCUACGGGUGAAAGCAGGGGAUCUUCGGACCUUGCGCGAUUGAAUGAGCCGAUGUCGGAUUAGCUAGUUGGCGGGGUAAAGGCCCACCAAGGCGACGAUCCGUAGCUGGUCUGAGAGGAUGAUCAGCCACACUGGAACUGAGACACGGUCCAGACUCCUACGGGAGGCAGCAGUGGGGAAUAUUGGACAAUGGGCGCAAGCCUGAUCCAGCCAUACCGCGUGGGCGAAGAAGGCCUUCGGGUUGUAAAGCCCUUUUGUUGGGAAAGAAAAGCAGCAGGUUAAUACCCCGCUGUUCUGACGGUACCCAAAGAAUAAGCACCGGCUAACUUCGUG